rnacentral:rRNA from 1 species
AACGUAGGAGGCGAGCGGUAUCCGGAUUUACUGGGUGUAAAGCGCGUGCAGGCGGUCUGGAAAGUGGUGCGUGAAAGCGCCCGGCUUAACCGGGCGAGGACGUGCUAAACUGUCAGGCUGGAGGCAGGCAGAGGCGUGUGGAAUUCCGGGUGUAGUGGUGAAAUGCGUAGAGAUCCGGAGGAACACCAGUGGCGCAGGCGACACGCUGGGCCUGACCUGACGCUCAGACGCGAAAGCAUGGGGAGCGAACGGG